GGAGAGGUGGUCGAGUGGUUUAUGACAAUAGUCUUGAAAACUAUAAUAGAAAACAUCUAUCGUGGGUUCGAAUCCCUCCCUCUCCG
rnacentral:tRNA from 1 species